AUUUGCAGGAAAAGUAGCCCACUGGCUGAAACAGUGUUCAGCAGCAGAGGAUCUGGUUAUGGUUCCCCACUCCCCCAACAGUUUAUCAUGAUGUCAGUUUUGGAGCCGGUGAGGCCAGGUUGAAUCCAAGGACGUGGAUGUGUGGACCUGGUUCUUCUGCUUUCUUGUGGCAUACAUGGCUCUUCUUCUGUUACAUGGGGACAAAAUUACAUGCUGCUCCAGGCAGUUAAAUGAGAAAAAAAUGCCUGGCCAAGAACCUAACAUUGGGGAUGAUCAAUACCUGUCAGUUUUCUGUUUGAGUCUUGGUUUCCUCACCUGUAAAUAGAGAUGUUCUGCAUAUUUACCAGUGCAUCACAAAGCUUCCACUUUUUGUAUUGCGUCUUGGGACACGAGAAGACUCUGGUGAUGCUCCUAGUGAUGCUCGCUACCUUCUGCCUGGAUGCAGCUUAGCCAGGAAGCAAUUCAAUCUCCGAUCACUUACCCCAGAGUGAGAAAAACAUCUGAAAUUUAUAGGACGUCUUUUGAAAUGACCCUCCCCUCCUCUCCUGCACUGGGUGAGUUUCUAAACAUCCUCUUCCCUUUUAAACAUUUCCGUCUUUAUACUGUAUGCCCUGUACUGCUCCUUUGUGGAAGGAAUAUGGCUAAAAGACAGCAUGUUUUUCCAGCAGGUUUGCAUCAGGUGGGGCUGUUCUUAUCACUGGAAAUAAAUUGGCCAAUCCUAUUGGGUGGGAUUUGUGUUAAUAUGAGCCCCACCAGAUGGAUGAAGCAGAUUUGUUUAUCCCAAGCAGAGGACGAUUGCUCUUCUCUCUUUUUUAACUGGAUUUGGCCUUGUGCUCUUAUAAGCCAGAGGGGCACAUUAAUCCAUAAUACUCUAAUCUCACAGCCCUGUUUUAAGCCUAGAAAGUCUAUGUAUUUGUGAUUUUGUUUCAUUUCAAGUAACAAGAUCAUGAAUAAAAACAACAAGCAUAGCCCUUCUGUUCUGGAGGGUGGCUGACAUAUCACAUCUCUGGGAGACUCCUGGCAGCUGUGCUCUGUCUUUUUGGUGAAUUCACAGACUCCUUCCUCAGGACAAAUAUUUUGGAGCACAGUUAAAUGGAUGCAUCUGUAAUCAAUUGCUUGUCAUAUUAAAGAUUUUAUUGUUGAAACAA